GAACAUACAGAAGCCGGAGCCACGGGCAGCACAGGGUCUUUGGUGAGGAAAGCGCUAAAACCCUAAGACGCACAUCUCGGAAUUCAUGGAAAGACGGGAAGUUUCGCCCUGCGACCAACUAACGCCGAGUUUUUUUGAUUCCCGGCGGUGUUGGACGAUUACAUUCUUCCAGUUGUUUCCAUGACCAACAGAAAACGAAGCAGGAUCAACUAAGGGAGGCGCUUCUGGAAAAGCACUGUGGAUCCCAAUACGACUUUGAUCGGCAUCGGCGUUAGGAGACAUAAGGGACCGAGGGCGUGCUGAGGGGCAGAAGGCUCAGUGCACGACCAUUUCCUCUUACGACAACUCGAGACCCACCCCUUGAGACCCACCCUGACACCUCUGGCUGAAUCUCCAGACACACUGGGACCGCGCCCCCCCCCCGCCCCUCCCUCUAUUUCUGUCUUUCUUUUUUUUUUUCAACAGAGCUUUUCAACCCCAGCUUUUUCAUACCUCAAAUUUCUGGGCUUCUAGCCGCAGUUUUUCUAUAUUUUGGCUGACUUCUGUUAAUUUGUGAUCCAGGCUGGCUGGGUCUCCCAUCUGAGGAUUCUUUAGGUAAACAUCUUUCAUUUUUGUUAUAGCAUCUCUGGAGGGGGGUGAAAAAAACCAAGAAUGAGCAGAACACAGUGAAAGGUGAAUGUCACGAGCUAAGUGUAGUCUCCUGACGCCGUGGGAACCGUGUUAAGCAGGGGAAGACUGGGUAACGUCUGGGUUGGCGGGGAGCAUCGGGGCUUGCUUUCCUUCCUUAAAACUCUGUAAGAAUUCCGCUCCCCAGGCCUGUGUCAUCCAGAGAGGGUUAUUAAACUCUCAGUCGCCUCUUCUGAAUGCUA